rnacentral:rRNA from 1 species
UGAAUACGAGACGCUAAGGCGUCGAAGUAGUGUAUGUCAUACUUCCAAGAAAAGCUUGCACUGUCAUAGAUAAAAAACGCCUGUACCAUAACCGACACAGGUGGGUAGGUAGAGUAUACUAAGGGGCGCGAGAUAACUCUCUCUAAGGAACUCGGCAAAAUAACUCCGUAACUUCGGGAGAAGGAGUGCCUUAUUCGUAAGGUUGCAAUAACAAGAUCCAAGCAACUGUUUAUCAAAAACACAGGUCUCCGCUAAGUCGUAAGACGAUGUAUGGGGGCUGACGCCUGCCCAGUGCCAGAAGGUUAAAGAAGUUGGUUAGCAAUUGCGAAGCUGAUAACUGAAGCCCUGGUGAACGGCGGCCGUAACAAUAACGGUCCUAAGGUAGCGAAAUUCCUUGUCGGGUAAGUUCCGACCCGCACGAAAGGCGUAAUGAUUUGGAUACUGUCUCGGAGAGGGGCUCGGUGAAAUAGACUUGUCUGUGAAGAUGCGGACUACCUGCACCAGGACAGAAAGACCCUAUGAAGCUUUACUGUAACUUGAAAUUGAAAUUGGACUUUAUUCGCGCAGUAUAGGUGGUAGGCGUUGAUUAUAAUCUUGUGGGAUUAUUGGAGCCAUCAGUGAGAUACCACUCUUGUAAUGUUAGAUUUCUAACUUUGAAUCAUUAUCUGGUCAAAGAACAGUUUCAGGCGGGCAGUUUGACUGGGGCGGUCGCCUCCUAAACGGUAACGGAGGCGUACAAAGGUUUCCUCUGAACGGUUAGAAAUCGUAUCUAGAGUGUAAAGGCAUAAGGAAGCUUGACUGUGAGACCUACAAGUCGAGCAGGGACGAAAGUCGGUCUUAGUGAUCUGACGGUACUGAGUGGAAAGGCCGUCACUCAACGGAUAAAAGUUACUCUAGGAUAACAGGCUGAUCUCCCCCAAGAGUUCACAUCGACGGGGAGGUUUGGCACCUUGAUGUCGGCUCAUCGCAUCCUGGGGCGGUAGUACGUCCCAAGGGUUGGGCUGUUCGCCCAUGAAAGCGGUACGCGAGCUGGGUUCAGAACGUCGUGAGACAGUUCGGUCCAUAUCCGGUGUAGGCGUUAGAAUAUUGAGAGGAGCCUUCUUUAGUACGAGAGGACCGAGAAGGACAUACCUCUGGUGUACCAGUUAUCGUGCCAACGGUAAACGCUGGGUAGCUAUGUAUGGAGUGGAUAACCGCUGAAAGCAUCUAAGUGGGAAGCCCACCUCAAGAUAAGUAUUCC